rnacentral:rRNA from 1 species
GAUGAACGCUGGCGGCGUGCUUAACACAUGCAAGUCGAACGGAAAGGCCCAAGCUUGCUUGGGUACUCGAGUGGCGAACGGGUGAGUAACACGUGGGUGAUCUGCCCUGCACUUCGGGAUAAGCCUGGGAAACUGGGUCUAAUACCGGAUAGGACCACAUUUUGGAUGGUGUGGUGGAAAGUUUUUCGGUGUGGGAUGAGCUCGCGGCCUAUCAGCUUGUUGGUGGGGUAAUGGCCUACCAAGGCGUCGACGGGUAGCCGGCCUGAGAGGGUGUACGGCCACAUUGGGACUGAGAGACGGCCCAGACUCCUACGGGAGGAAGCAGUGGGGAAUAUUGAACAAUGGGCGCAAGCCUGAUGCAGCGACGCUGCGUGGGGGAUGACGGCCUUCGGGUUGUAAACUCCUUUCGCUAGGGACGAAGCGUUAUGUGACGGUACCUGGAGAAGAAGCACCGGCUAACUACGUG